CCUCAUGGAAAACGGAGAAGAAAAAACAAAAAAGAAGGCUUUGCCGAGGAUGCUCGCCCAAGUAAUUAUACUUGGACGGAGUAUUUAUGGCUUUUUAUAACAUAGCAAAAUGGGUGGACUCCGACAAUUUACUUCUGCAGAGGCUGUUGGUACGGUUGUGCCCUCGCCCCGAUCGCUCGCCUUUGCACCUAAUCACGGUUGCAAGACGAGGCGUGAUGAGCUCCGCAUCACCUCCUCCUUCUAGUCGCCUCACCGCCGCCCAACUGGAGAAGCUGGUGAAGGAAUGCCAUCGAUUGGGGUCUCUCCAAAUCGAAGAGGCUUCCGGCCUCUUCAUUCGAAUGCUGAAAUCCAACCCCAGACCAUCCAUCGGUGCCUUUAACGUCCUACACCCGACCAUCUCCCAGAUGAAGAAGACGCAACACUACCCUACUCUCCUUUGCUUUUCAGCCGGAAGAAUGGGGCUCUGAUGCCGUCACCUUUGCCAUCCUGAUCGAUUGCUGCUGCCGCAUGAACCUCGUGGAUUUGGGUUUCGGUGUACUCGGUGGCAUGCUGAAGCGCGACUGCAGUUCGACGACCGUAAUAUUCGGUACCCUCAUCAGAGGGCUCUGUCCGGAGAAGAGGAUCGGGGACGCCGCCAACCUGUUUGAGAUAAUGCCUGAGAUGGGUUGCGUACUUGAUCUGAUCACAUACAAUAUUUUCAUCAAGUGUCUUUGCGAUAGCGGGAACACGGGCAGGGCACUCUGAUUGCAUCAGAAGGGUUUUUGCAGGAAGGGAGAUACGCACAGUGUCUUCAAACUCUUCGAAUAAAUGAUUUGUGAAGGUGUUGUACCAGAUGCUGUAACUUAUGGUGCGAUCAUCAGUGGCCUCUGCAAAGAGGGAUUUUUGGAGAAGGCUUUCAAGAUAUUUCAAGAAAUGGUUGCUCUAGGGUGUAUGCCAAGUGUUUUGACAUACAGUGUACUAAUCAGUGCCAAUUGCAAAGUCGGCGCUGUGAGUAAGGCCUUUGAAAUGUUUCAGCAAAUGGUUGUUACAGGUGUCGAGCCAGACAUCGUCACGUAUACUUCUCUUAUUCUUGGAGAUUCUAGUUUACGCCAUUGGAUUCUUACAGGAGAUGUUGAAUUGAGGUCUUAUACCAAACUCCAUGACAUACAACACUUUAAUGAAUUCUCACUGCAGAAAAGGGAAGGCUGGUGAAGCACAUAAGCUAUGGAUCCAAUGAUUGCGAGAGAUAUUGCAAGAUUGGGCAACUUUCAGAAGAUCGUACACUCUUCAAUGACAUGAUUGAUCAAGGGCUGAAACCAGGUGUCUACAGUUAUAGUUCGUUGAUCUGGGGGCAAUUGCAAAUCUGGUGAGUGGAAAGAAGUCAAUUAUUUACUUGAACAGAUGAAAGAUCAAGGAGUUUAUCCAGAUGAUGUGUCUUUUAAUAUAUUAAUUGAUGCUCUAUGUAAAGAUGAGAAAGCCAACGAAGCACAAAAGCUAGUGGGUAUGAUGACUCAAGGAGGUGUUUAGCCUGAUACAGUUAUAACAUAUUUAUUAAUGGAUAUUGUUUAGAGAAAAGAAUUGAUGAAGCUGCCAAAUAAUUGAUUCUAUGGUUUUGAUUGGUUUUUUGGCAAAUGUUGCUACUUACAGUACAUUGAUCAGUGGCUUUUGUGAGCUUGGAAGCAGAUGAGGCUUUAGGAUUUCUUGGUGAAAUGAACCAUGAGGUAUUGAAACCCACAGUGAUAUCUUAUAACAGUGUUAGAUGGAUUGUAUCAGGUGGGGAUGGUUGUGCAAAAUAUUGCAUAAGAAGAUGCUUGUAGCAAAGUCAGCACGGACAUCGCAACCUACUACAUAACAAUGGAUGGACUAUGUUAAGAUCAAUAAUCAAAGAUAGCUUGUCUCAGAAAAAACUCUUGAUGGAAACCUUUGACCUUUUUUUUUGCAAAGGCGAGAUUCGAGCCUAUGACCUUGCGAUAAACUGUCAAGAUCUCAACUUGUUGACACAUUAAAAAAAAUCUUUGACGUCAUAAUAAGUGAACUUUUAGACUGAUAAAAUUGGUGCUGUAAGAGAUAUUUCCAGUGCUAUUCUCACGGAAGACUUGAAGCCAGAUGUUAUAGCAUACACCUUGUCGUUAAAGCUUUCCCUAAAGAAGUGUCACUGGAUGAGGCUAAUGAGUUGGCUUUAUCAAUGUAGUAAAUGGUUGUUCCUCACAUUCUGCCAUGCUAAAUGCAAUUAUUCGAAGCUUACCUGAGAAAAAAGAGGUGAUGAAAACAAUUUCUGUAAUUUCUCUUAAAAUAUGCUUUGUUUCGAAGGAUGGAACAUUUCAAUAGCAUUUGAAAUUGCUUCCUGUGUUUUGUCAAGAUUGUAAACAAGGUCAAUGAUAUAGUAGGAAUGUCUCGAUUACAUGCUCCACUGUCAGCUUACAA